CGAGCGAGCGGAACCACAGAUUUACUUCGGUAAUGACGUUGGGAAAGCGAGCGGCGGAUGGGUGAGUAACACGUGGGGAACCUGCCCCUAAGUCUGGGAUACCAUUUGGAAACAGGUGCUAAUACCGGAUAAUAAAGCAGAUCGCAUGAUCAGCUUUUGAAAGGCGGCGUAAGCUGUCGCUAAGGGAUGGCCCCGCGGUGCAUUAGCUAGUUGGUAAGGUAACGGCUUACCAAGGCGACGAUGCAUAGCCGAGUUGAGAGACUGAUCGGCCACAUUGGGACUGAGACACGGCCCAAACUCCUACGGGAGGCAGCAGUAGGGAAUCUUCCACAAUGGACGCAAGUCUGAUGGAGCAACGCCGCGUGAGUGAAGAAGGUUUUCGGAUCGUAAAACUCUGUUGUCAGAGAAGAACGUGUGUGAGAGUAACUGUUCACGCAGUGACGGUAUCUGACCAGAAAGUCACGGCUAACUACGUGCCAGCAGCCGCGGUAAUACGUAGGUGGCAAGCGUUGUCCGGAUUUAUUGGGCGUAAAGGGAACGCAGGCGGUCUCUUAAGUCUGAUGUGAAAGCCUUCGGCUUAACCGAAGUCGGGCAUUGGAAACUGGGAGACUUGAGUGCAGAAGAGGAGAGUGGAACUCCAUGUGUAGCGGUGAAAUGCGUAGAUAUAUGGAAGAACACCAGUGGCGAAAGCGGCUCUCUGGUCUGUAACU
rnacentral:rRNA from 1 species